CCUGCUGGCCCGGAAUUCAACAGCGCUUCAGACUGUGACCGUGAGGCUUUUAGGUUGUUGGCUUACUUAAGGUAGACCAGGUUAUAAUUGUGAGUUGUUUAACUUGUGCUACUUUAGGCUUUUUUAAAUAUACUGCACUUGUUACUCUAUUGUAUUUACUAUGUAUAACUAUAGCUUUGAUUCAAUGUAAAGUUUUGUCUUGCCAUUUUAUUAUAUACACCUUGCUAGUACCAGUUUGGGUCUCUUUUUUGCUUUUUGAAUUGCCUUAAUUCUUCAUGGCAUAGAUUUAGCAAUGUGCUCCAAACAUUCCCCAGAGAUUCUGGUUCAAAUUGACAUAAUAGCAUCACAAAGUUGCUGCAGAUUUGUCAGCUACAGAUUCAUGACGUGAAUCUCCAUCUUUGCUUCCACCACAACCCAAAUUGCUCUACUCGGAUUGAGAGCUGAGGACUGUGGAGGCCAUUUGAAUACAGUGAACUCAUUGUCAUAUCCAAAAAACAGUUUGAGAUGAUCUGAGCUUUGCCACAUGAUGUAUUAUCCAGCUGGGUACACAAAUAAGGGAUUGACACGGCAUUAAUGGAUGGACACGGACAGCAACACAAGCAACCUAGACAGGUAGGGUUGGCAUUCAAACAAUGGCAGGCAAUAUUUUCCCAGUUGUCUGUUGUCCAGUUUUGGUGAGCCCGUGAAAACUGUAUCCUCAGUUUCCCAUCCUUAGCUGACAGGAGAGGCACCUGUUGUGGUCUUCUGCUGCUGUAGCCCAUCUGCUUCAAGACCUGAUGUCUGGUGCUACUCUGCAUACCUUGGUUGCAAUGAGUGGUUAUUUGAGUUGCUGUCAGCUUCAACUCAAAGCUUGAUCACACAGCCUUCUUUACUGCCUGGUCUCUGUCACGGUCUGUUAACAAGACGCCGACGAUUUUGCAACACUUUGUGCUGAAGCCAAUAAGUGUUGAUGCAGAGCUGGAUCGUGUUUCUAAUCGCGAGUAAUUGUUGCACAAUAUGCGAUUGGUUUAAUGUUGAGGACGUACUCUUUAACUUUUCAUUUAUUGCUCAGUAAUUAUCUUUACUGUGCAGCAUACAGCAAUUGGAACUGUUUAUUUUACAGCUCACAGUCACAAGAAGCUUGAUAAGAAGUUUGAGGACACACUUAUACUCUGAUAACAUAGUCUUUAAUAUUAACCUCAUGUAGUUGUAUGCCAUUUCUUGAUUAUAGCACUCAGUGGCAUUACUGUUGUGAAAGAAGAGAUACAGCAUCUGCAAAAAAAAAAAAAAAAAAAAAAAAAAGCUGCUGUCUUAGCCCAGAGAUCACAGUGUGCAUGUUAGCACAUGUAAACUGAAGGGUGAGUUCUUUUCCCUGGAACGGUUUAUAGAUGUGUGUUGAAACUGGCUCGCGGACAUGACACAUAACAACAGCAGCAGCAUUAACACUGUCGUCAUCAUCGGUUUUAUUUGUGCACAGAGUUUGGUCUACAACACAAUUCCUAGCACCAAUACUGAAAUCAUGUGGACCCAAAACCAUUUUUUAAAAAAGGAAAAGAAACAAAAAGGACCAUAAAUACAUAAAAGGGCUACAUGGGUUUUACAAAUUAAGAGUGAAAUUGCAGAAAAUGGAUGGCAUGUAGAAAAUAUCUUUUACAAAGUUGUUUGUUUUUAUUAUUUUUUUUUACUUAUUUGAUGUUCUUCUUGGCAUUUUA